GAUAAAAUGUAUUGGUAACAUAUCUACCAAUACUUUCUAUGUAUAUACUGAUACCUACUUGCACCAGCAAUCAACAUAGACAAAACAUACGAAGAAGAUGAGAAAUUAAACAGUUUCUUUUUCUCCCCUUCAUUUGCAAUGUGUGCCCUGACUUUGCCUUAUCUGAACAGGAUUAUGAUGUACGGAAGUGAUCAUGCCACUACUGGUUUUGAUUUUUACUUGAUACUCACAGCCAUCAGCUGUGGAGGGG